UACAGAGGGUGCAAGCGUUGUUCGGAAUUAUUGGGCGUAAAGCGCGUGUAGGCGGGACGACAAGUCGGGUGUGAAAGCCCUCAGCUCAACUGAGGAAGUGCGCCCGAAACUAUCGUUCUUGAGUACCGGAGAGGGUGGCGGAAUUCCCGGUGUAGAGGUGAAAUUCGUAGAUAUCGGGAGGAACACCAGUGGCGAAGGCGGCCACCUGGACGUGUACUGACGCUGAGACGCGAAAGCGUGGGGAGCAAACAGG
rnacentral:rRNA from 1 species